UAUGCGACACCUGCUCAAGUUUUCUAUCUUCGAUAUAAAACUUGCUCAGGUUGGUUGGAUAAAAUUGCCCUCAUUCAUAAUUUUUAUGCCCUAUUUUUUUCCCCUUGUUUCCUUUGCUAUGCUUGAUGGCGCACUUGAACAGGAUCUGUUUCGUACGACCAUAUCCUCGUCCGCUUAAUGGCCUAUAUGCUGAUUGCUGAACCAUCCUCCCAGGUUUAGAGAGCGAAUCAUCUGAGACGGGUGAAAAGCAUAACCCUCAAGCAUAUAGAACUAGAACAGGGAUCCAUGAACUGCUGCAGCACUCUAAAGAUCCAUCCUGGGGAGAAAUAAAUGAAAAUUUUGACAGGCAGAAGAGACUCGACUAAAAUUAUUUAUGAAGCAUGCUUGCUGGAUAGUUGAAUUAGCAGAUGGUCUCACUCCAUAGUGAAUAUAUUACACACCAAUGGCCCGCUGAAACUUUUGCCCUCAAUUCCAGCCAGCCACAAAGGAGCAACGAAUGCCGUGGGGCUUCUUCCAUUUCCUGCAGACGAAAACUUCCACUGCCGCGCGGCAGGAGGGGGAUUGGUUCAACCAGCAGCUGUCCCUGGAAACUUUUUAAGAGCCACAAAAUAAGUCCCAUCGCUCCAGACCCAGGAGAUCGGGACCGGCAAGUAAUCAUGUCAUGGCUAACACCAAUUAAUCUCACAGAUAAUUGGAAGAGCCGUCUCUAACAGCUGAGCCGGAGAAAAGCACUUCACAGAAUUUAAGUGUUCGCACUCCAGACCCCUAUGAUCAAGUGAUCAUGCACUAGCUGGUAAAAAUAAUAUGCAAGGCCAUUUUUGUUUCACUUAAAAAAUAAUAUGCAUCCUUCAUAACCAAUUCUAUCACACUUCAGACACCAAAUUAAUCACGCAGGCACCGGCCGGACCGCUUGCAACGACUUAAUGUGAUACCAGAACCCGACAACCACAAAAAAAUGGAUAUCAUCAGCAGUGAAUGCAGAGAUGCAAUUUUAUAGUUCAUUUCCACAUAGGUAUUGCCCUAUAUAUAGAGCGAGAGUUCACAUUCUACUAAA